rnacentral:rRNA from 1 species
AAUACGGAAGGUGCAAGCGUUAAUCGGAAUUACUGGGCGUAAAGCGCGCGUAGGUGGUUUGUUAAGUUGGAUGUGAAAGCCCUGGGCUCAACCUAGGAACUGCAUCCAAAACUAACUCACUAGAGUACGAUAGAGGGAGGUAGAAUUCAUAGUGUAGCGGUGGAAUGCGUAGAUAUUAUGAAGAAUACCAGUGGCGAAGGCGGCCUCCUGGAUCUGUACUGACACUGAGGUGCGAAAGCGUGGGUAGCGAACAGGAUUAGAUACCCUGGUAGUCCACGCCGUAAACGAUGACAACUAGCUGUUGGGAGACAAUGUCUUUCAGUGGCGCAGCUAACGUUUUAAGUUGUCCGCCUGGGGAGUACGGCCGCAAGGCUAAAACUCAAAUGAAUUGACGGGGACCCGCACAAGCGGUGGAGCAUGUGGUUUAAUUCGAUGCAACGCGAAAAACCUUACCUACUCUUGACAUACUUGGAAGCUCUUGUAAUGAGAGUGUGCCUUUUGGAGCCAAGAUACAGGUGCUGCAUGGCUGUCGUCAGCUCGUGUCGUGAGAUGUUCCGUUAAGUCGGAUAACGAGCGCAACCCUUACCCUUAUUUGCCAGCGAUUCGGUCGGGAACUAUAAGGGGACUGCCGGUGAUAAACCGGAGGAAGGUGAGGACGACGUCAAGUCAUCAUGGCCCAUACGAGUAGGGCUACACACGUGCUACAAUGGGGAAUACAGACGGACGCUAAGCCGCGAGGUGGUGCUAAUCCUAGAAAAUUCUUCGUAGUCCGGAUUGGAGUCUGCAACUCGACUCCAUGAAGUCGGAAUCGCUAGUAAUCGCGAAUCAGCAUGUCGCGGUGAAUACGUUCUCGGGUCUUGUACACACCGCCCGUCACACCAUGGAAGUGGAUUGCACCAGAAGUAGAUAGUCUAACCUUCGGGAGGGCGUUUACCACGGUGUGCUUCAU